rnacentral:rRNA from 1 species
UACGUAGGGUCCGAGCGUUGUCCGGAAUUAUUGGGCGUAAAGAGCUCGUAGGCGGUCUGUCGCGUCGGAUGUGAAAGCCCGGGGCUUAACCCCGGGUCUGCAUUCGAUACGGGCAGACUAGAGUGUGGUAGGGGAGAUCGGAAUUCCUGGUGUAGCGGUGAAAUGCGCAGAUAUCAGGAGGAACACCGGUGGCGAAGGCGGAUCUCUGGGCCAUUACUGACGCUGAGGAGCGAAAGCGUGGGGAGCGAACAGG